rnacentral:lncRNA from 1 species
CUCUUUGCUGUCUGGCCCUUUACAGGCCAAGCGGGCUGAUUCCUGGCUUAGAAUUUGAGUCAUCCGUCCCUGCAAAUCUCUGAAUCCCCGGACUCACCAUCGGUGUAGAUUGCAGGCUUCAGGCAGAGAGAAUCUCAGUGAAGCCAUAUUUUCUUCCACUUUUGCCACGAGAUGAACCACCUUUGGCUCCAGAUCGACUUUUUCUCGAAGGAGCUUAGCGAAAACUCCGGUGAACACAUGGCAACAGCUCGAUGUGUUUGUACAACUUUUCCUGAUAUGACAGCACCCAUAGCCCGCUGCUCCACCAGAAGGCAUCUAUCUGUGCUACCCGCCCCCCGUCCUCCGGAGGCCGACUGGCAUGGUGCGUCUAUCUGAUGGAUGAAGACUGGGUCAUGGACCACGCCCUUGCUGCAAGGGAGGCUGGGAAAUAGCAGGCAUGUUCCUUGUCUGUAGCCGGAGGUAAGGUCUGCAACCCACCAAGACUCAGAAGGAAGGGAAUUCCCCAAGAGAGGAAGGAAGUUCAAAUGCAGGGCGGUCCAAGCCAGUGGCAAAUGCCUGGUGUGUCCUAUCAAAACCUGGUUCCCUGUUCCCACAGCUAAGCUCGUGCUUCCCAAGCUUUAUUGACCCAUGUCUCGCCCACUGCUCUUUGCUUACAGGCCUGUACAGCCCACACAAUUAUUUGCUGAACAUUUUUCUUUAAAGCAACUAUUUUUUACAUAAAUACGUUUAUUCAAAAGGAAAGUCUCAGGUAAGUUGAAAAUCAGCAUCGGUUGUCGUAAGUGACCUAGAUAUGCUGUAAAACAAGAACGUUAUUAAGGGUAUCGUCCGGCAGAGGUUUUGAGCCUGAGGACUGCUCCUUCCCAGGGGAGAAAGGAGGCUGGGAACGGGUGGAUAGGUGUUCAGAUAAGGUCAGGACCAUAGCUACUUGGUCACAAGACAGUGACUUCUCUCUAUGUGGUGUGACUGUACGUACUACUUAAAUUAGUCGGGUACCACUGGGGGUAUUUGCGUCGUAAUGACAAUAUAAAAAAACCCCAUAAACCAGUGGCCUUGCUGGUGUGAGGGAAUUCAC